rnacentral:ribozyme from 14 species
GAGGACAAAAAAAAUCGAUGGCAGGGAUAGUGUUGUCUAAUGGCAUUCUCUUCUAUAUAUUUUUUGGUGUCUCAUCCCUUUUCAUUCAUUUUCUUCUUUCUCUUCCUUUCCUGUUUAUAUUUC